AAAAAACCACGUGGGCUAAAAUAGUUGGUCACUAUUCAAUGGGUUUAAUCAUUUUUUCAGGCAUAAAAAAAAUCUCUGUCUCACAAACACACACAUCGAUCAAGAUUGAAACAUGGAACGGAGCUCCACCAGAUUCUUCGUCGCCGGAGUACCUUCUCUCAAAUCUAUCAUUUUUACCGUUUUAACUUUUAAUGUUUACAUUAGUUAUAGGUUUCAAAUUUAAACUAAUCUGUGAUGUUGCUGCUGGUGCCGAGCUUUGUAAUCCUUUUGCAGUCAACAUUGGCUUGGAUUAUGAGGAGCUAGCAAAGAUAGUUACUAGGAGAAGGAGAUUAUGGAAAAUAUAUCGCAAAGCAAUACCCUGAAAAUGGGCUUCAUCUUUCUGGUUCUAAUUGGUUUGCAUUCUCGGUGGAUGAUGCAUUUAGUAUCUGGCUUGGGGGAACGCCAACUGAAACUUCAUUAUCCAGAACUUUUAUGAACAAGGUUAAUAUUCACGGCCUUAAACCAUUACUCUAGAGCUGGAGAUUGAUGAGAAAACUAAGAAAUCAUUAUGUGGGUUCACAAAUCACAUGGGCUUGCUAUGGUGUGUUAGAGAUUUAUGUAAAGUGAUUAUAGACGACGGUGAAAUGACAUCUGGGUUUAAGAAGAUCAAAUUUCGAGAAUUGGAUCGGGUUUUCACUUGAAAGGGAAGACUAAGACAUGGAAAAGAUGUUGCUAUAAAGGUUUUUGCAGUUGAAUCGAAACAGGGAGCAAGAGAACUCUUGACAAAAAUCAAAGUGAUAUUUGAUAUCGAGCACAAAAGCUGAACAAAGCCUCGAUGUUGCGUUGAAGGGGAUCACAGAAUUAUGGUAUACGAUUACAUUGAAAAUAGCAACUUGGCUCAAACUCUUCUUGGUGGCGGGUGAUAGGUCUACAUAUCCACUUUAGUUGAAAAACAACUAAUAUUUGCCUUGGAAUUAUGUGUGGGCUUGCUUAUCUUGAUCAGGAAGUAGGCCACAUAUAACUUAUCGGGAUAUAAAAGCAAUCAAUAUUCUUCUUGGUACAGAUUUAACUCUCAAGAUUCGGGAUUUUGGUCUAGCAAAAUUAAUGCCGGAAAGUAUGAAGCAUUUUUGCAUUGGUUACUUGUCACAAGAGUAUGCAAUUUGAGGCCCGUUGACACGUAGAGCUGAUGUUUAUACCGUCAGUGACUUCUCAUAUUAAUUGUUAGUGGAACAUGAAACACAAACUCCUUAUUGCCUAUCGAUGAACGAUGUAUUCUCGAGAAGGUAAGUUAUUAUUGCAUACUUCUACUUCGUUUAUAUUAUCAGCAGCAAAAUUUCCUUCAGAGAGUUUACAUCUUGAAUGUUUAAGUGAUUUGUUUGACUUUAAAAGUCAGCUCUCGCUAAAAGAUUUGAUAUAGAAGUUCCAUUUGGGUAGUCCGUGCGCGGUCUGCUUAUUGUUGAACAACACUUCAAAAACGCCAAAACUGUGUGAGUUGCUGUUAAAGUCAGGAAAGGUUAUUCAGAUGUUAAAGUCAUGUGUGCAACCUAAACUUACUUUAUUCAAGGCGCUGGUCACUCGUAUGGUCCUAAACGGUAAUGUUUUGCCUUUUGCAACUAGCCUUUGCCUUUCCCUUUUGCUUCCAACCGUCAAGCUUUCCCAUUAGGCUAAAAGCUUCUAAUCGUAAUUGUAAAUAUAUCAAUAUCGUCUUUUUGUUAGCGAACCAUGACCAAACAAUGGAGCUUUACUUUUGACUACAACCUGUUAAUUGUAGUUGUGAUAUAGUUCUCCCUUCUUGGAACAUGCUUUCAUUCAAUGAUGCUUGUAAAGUUUUAAUGAUUAUGUAUAUAUAUGACUUUAAGUCUUUAA